rnacentral:lncRNA from 1 species
GUGCUUUCUUUACAAAGGGGUUCAAAUUAAUAGUAGAGUCAAAACAUUACAAAGUCAUUUCCUUUGAAGAAAAAUUUCUGUUUUUAUAUCAUUCUCAACAAAUAACUUACAGUCAGUAUUGAUUGUUAUGUUAUGUUACUCUCUUUUGUCAGAGAUGUUGGGGAAAAAAGUAUAUUUUAUCUUCCUAUGUAAGCAUUGCCCUAGAGAUAAUGGGGGCUUUUUGGGAAAGGCUUACCCCAAAGUGGUUUUCCUAUACUCAUGCUAUUUCAUGAAAUAUAGCAGGAAGGAUUUAUUAUUCCAAUCUCAGUGAAAUCUUGGGAGGAACAACCCGUAAAAUCAUUUAUCAACCACUUAAACCUCAUACAUUUUUAAUAUUGAUAUGAUCAUAGAGUUGACUAACUUUGUACCUGUACAGGUGGUGCCUGUAUGGUGGGGAGCUGUGAGCCAAAGGGAGAAGACAAAGUGACACAGGUGACAGCCACGAUUUUCUACCCAGGUGCGUUCUGUUGUCCCUGUUGCUCUGCUCUCUACUUCCCUUCACUUCACCCUCCUCCUUACCUACCUUGCAUUUUUGAGUGAAACUAAGUUCACUGAAACUUUAUAAUUAUUUUGAAUUUAAGAAUGUUUGCAAUGAUUGAAAUUCUCAAAUUGGAAUUGCAAAUUAAAUGACCAAAUCUAACUGCUGGCUGUCAUUUUCUUCUCCCUUCUCCCCAUGACUCCCCUACCCAACUCAAUACAUAUACAUAAAUUACCUACCACUUGCCAAGCAACUUGCAGGGCUGGAGAAUGCAGAAGUGGGCGACUCUUGGACUCUACUUUCCAGCAAUAGACUAACUGUUAAAGAGGUAAUUACUAAGCUAUAUCAUGAGAGCCAUGUUAGAGGAGAGCAAAACAAAACAAGGAUGGGGAGGAACAGCUGCAUGUUACAUUUGUAAUAAGAAUAGAGUAUCAUAAAUUCUGUGACAGCA